GCUUUUAAAUUUAGAAAAAAAUCAUUUUAUGACAAGACCGCUUUUCCUGUUUAGGUAGUAAAAGUUUUGUUUUUCUUUCAUGAAGGUUCUGUAGGAUCAAAUAUAUUAUAGGAGGGUCAGGAAAAGUUUUAAAGAAUAGAGAAUAAUGCAUGUAAUGUUCACAAUACAUUUGUAAAUAAAGAAAAUAGACAUACAUGUAACAAUGAAGAAAAACGGGUUGUUAAAUUAUAAGAAGUACAGAAAAAUGGAAAAAAAUAAAAUAAAUAGAUAGAGAUAAAUGGUAUAAAGAAUUAGAUAGGAAUGAAAUGAAGGACCCUCAAUCCAGA
rnacentral:lncRNA from 1 species